GGGCGAAGUCUGGCUCCCGUAGGAGUCCGAACAUCGAGGACGAGGCCCGGCUCCCGUGGGGUUCGGGCGGAGCGAUGGGAGUUUGCCAUCAACAGUCGAAAGUCGGAGAAGACUUGCAAGGGUCAAUCCCGUCAAGAACUUCGGCUGAGGGUAUUUUAUACGCAACACCAGUCCCCCUACUUUCGAGUUUGAAUUUCGAAUGAAGUACAGGGAGGUUGGCACAGCCAAAGUUGGCCCCUGGAAUCCUGUGCACGAUCGCCCCC
rnacentral:lncRNA from 1 species